AUGAACGCUGGCGGCGUGCCUAAUACAUGCCAGUCGAGCGAACAGACGAGGAGCUUGCUCCUCUGACGUUAGCGGCGGACGGGUGAGUAACACGUGGAUAACCUACCUAUAAGACUGGGAUAACUUCGGGAAACCGGAGCUAAUACCGGAUAAUAUAUUGAACCGCAUGGUUCAAUAGUGAAAGACGGUUUUGCUGUCACUUAUAGAUGGAUCCGCGCCGCAUUAGCUAGUUGGUAAGGUAACGGCUUACCAAGGCAACGAUGCGUAGCCGACCUGAGAGGGUGACCGGCCACACUGGAACUGAGACACGGUCCAGACUCCUACGGGAGGCAGCAGUAGGGAAUCUUCCGCAAUGGGCGAAAGCCUGACGGAGCAACGCCGCGUGAGUGAUGAAGGUCUUCGGAUCGUAAAACUCUGUUAUUAGGGAAGAACAAAUGUGUAAGUAACUAUGCACGUCUUGACGGUACCUAAUCAGAAAGCCACGGCUAACUACGUG
rnacentral:rRNA from 1 species